rnacentral:tmRNA from 2 species
GGGGGUGACUUGGCUUCGACAGGAGUAGUGAGGUCACGGUGGCAUGCAGCUUUUGGCAUAGCUUAAAAAGCCUAAAUAAAAUUAAACGCAAACAACGUUAAAUUCGCUCCUGCUUACGCUAAAGCUGCGUAAGUUCAGUUGAGCCUUGCUAUUUGGCGAUGCUAUCUAGCUAAAUCAGCGAGUAAUUUUAGAUAGUGUAGCUUUGCUAUUUGACGAGUAGCAAGGUGAAAUUUAGUCUUAGCUUGGCUAGUUGUUUUGGGAAGUGAACACGGCUGGGUGAAAUUUUCACUUCUGCUAAGCAUGUAGAGGCUGUGGGUUUGUUAUUUUUGGACUGCGGUUCGAUCCCGCACACCUCCACCA